rnacentral:pre_miRNA from 1 species
AAUAAAUGCAGCCAUGAUUUUCCGCGUCCAACUUUGAUAGUCCGUCUUAUUUAAAAUUUUUUUAUAAUUAAUAUUUUUAUUGUUAUAAGAUGAUAAAACAUGAAUAGUACUUUACUCGUGACUUAUGUUUUUAAUUUUUUUAAUUUUUUUUAAAUAAGACAAAUGGUUAAAGUUGGACGUGGAAAACCAUGG